GUCUACAGCCAUACCACCCUGAACAUGCCCGAUCUGGAUCUCCUCUGAUGUCGGAAGCUAAGCAGGGUCAAGCCUCAUUAGCACUUGGAUGGGAGAGACAGAAAAGCAGAGAGAGAGAGAGAGAGUAAAGGAGACC
rnacentral:rRNA from 1 species